GACGAACGCUGGCGGCGUGCUUAACACAUGCAAGUCGAACGGAAAGGCCCAGCUUGCUGGGUGCUCGAGUGGCGAACGGGUGAGUAACACGUGGGUGAUCUGCCCCUAACUUCGGGAUAAGCUUGGGAAACUGGGUCUAAUACCGGAUAGGACAAUCGUUUAGUGUCGGUUGUGGAAAGUUUUUUCGGUUAGGGAUGAGCCCGCGGCCUAUCAGCUUGUUGGUGGGGUAAUGGCCUACCAAGGCGUCGACGGGUAGCCGGCCUGAGAGGGUGGACGGCCAAAUUGGGACUGAGAUACGGCCCAGACUCCUACGGGAGGGAGCAGUGGGGAAUAUUGCACAAUGGGCGGAAGGCUGAUGCAGCGACGCCGCGUGGGGGAUGACGGCCUUCGGGUUGUAAACCUCUUUCGACAGGGACGAAGCUUUGGUGACGGUACCUGUAUAAGAAGCACCGGCUAACUACGUG
rnacentral:rRNA from 1 species